CCUAUGGCAACAUCCUGACUUUCAGAGGCUUCUGGAUAUUGUAUAACACCAGAUCGUAUGCUUUUUUAUUUUUAUGCCUAUAUUGACACCUGCAAAUGAAGAAAAUCAUCUUCUGUGGAUUCUUGCUACUAUUAGGAUGACAAAGGCCUCACUCUCCAUGUCUCAAAUAGUCAUCUUUUCAGCUCUGCAUGACAAACGAGUACAAUAUCUGUCAGGGUACAGACACAGAGGGCUUUCAACAGACACCACUGCAAAUGAACAUUUAGAUCUGGAAAAACACCAGGAGACAUCCAUAUGAUCCCUUCCAAGGCUCUGGGGAAAUCACAGAAAAGGAAGCAGCAAGAAUGGAAGAGCCAUAGGAUGGGAAGGAGAGCCGUGAGCUGCUGU